CCCUUAGAUGUCCUGGGCUGCACACGCGCUACACUGAUGUGUCCAGUAAGCACCUAACCUCUUCCGAAAGGAACGGGUAACCUUUGCAAAGCACAUCGUGAUGGGGAUAGAUUAUUGCAAUUAUUAGUCUUGAACGAGGAAUUCCUAGUAAGCACAAGUCAUCAGCUUGUGUUGAUUACGUCCCUGCCCUUUGUACACACCGCCCGUCGCUCCUACCGAUUGAAUGUUCCGGUGAGCUCUUCGGACUGCGCGGUCUGCAGUUUCUGCGUUCCGUGCGGAAAGUUGCGCAAACCUUAACAUUUAGAGGAAGGAGAAGUCGCAACA
rnacentral:rRNA from 1 species